AUCUCGGGCGUCCCUGCUCCGCCUGAAUGUUUCUGCCAUAUUAAAGAAAACCUUUCUCGGCGAGAUGGGAGUGCACUUUAGUGACUAAAAAUUGAGUGUGAUUUAAAGUGUUGAAUUUAUUGCGUGUAUUUGUCGGGGUAUUGAGCUGAAUCCAGUAACUUUGAAGGAGAAGCGACUGCAAGAUUCAUUGUAAGUGUGACUGAUAGAUCCAGUCACAGCAAGGAACAGAUGUCCCAACAAGCCCAGGAUCAGGAGCAAUGUCCAGUGGAUGCCCAAACCCUCCACACAAAGAUGUCGCAGCUUAAGGACCUCUCAGGCUAAGCAAGAUGCACAGGAGGGUCAGAAUCUUUCUCGAAUCUGAGUUGAAGGGAAUUAUGCACUUGUUCUGAAGUCAAAGAAAUAAUGCUGCCAGACCUGCUGGCUUUCUUCAGCAGUCUCUGUGUUGGUUUGCAACGUUUUGUGGACAUGAUUUGAAUACCACCACAGCAGAUGGUGAAAUUUGAAUGUACUGUAAUACAAAUCUGCAAUUAAAAAAAGACAAUGGCUUAA